CGCCUGAGGAGGGAGCGGCGAGGAGCGGCGAGGGCAUGGCAGAAGGAGGGCACGCGGGGGCUCCUCCCGUCCGCCUCUGGGUGCGCCGCGUGGGGGUUUACUGCGAUGAGCACCGCAAAACGUGGCUCGUGGCUGCGGAAGAGGAGGAAGGUAUGCUGAGGGCUCGGAUCCAAAGAGUUCAGGUUCCCCUGGGUGAGGCGCUGCGACCCAGCCAGCUCCCCCCAUCCCGGCUGCCUCAUAUGUGGCAGCUGUCCCAGGGUGAGCAGUACAGGGAUAGUAACUCUCGCGUUUGGGAGAUAGAGCACCAUCUCAUGCUCGGUGGUGUUGAAGAACUGCUGCUUAAACUCGUGCCUGGUGAUUAAUCUGGAGCAGUCGCUCUAGGAAGAUGUCCUUGUAUGUUUUGUCCAAUAAAUGAUUCUCUCUCCACUGAAAUGCAGCCACCCCUGGGGUGGAGGCACUUAAACAACACACAGCAACAUCACACAAGAGUUAGGACAGGCAGUGAAGAGGAGUAUCGUGUCCCAUUGAACCAUCAGGGGGACUUCUAGUUCUCUGAACAUGUCCCAGAAGGAUCCCUGCCAGAAACAAGCCUGUGAAAUACAGAAAUGCUUGCAAGCGAACAACUACGUGGAGUACUAAGUGCGCAGCCGUGCUCCAGGAGAUGCGGAAAUGCUGCGCCCGGUACCCCAAG